rnacentral:rRNA from 1 species
UACGGAGGGGACUAGCGUUGCUCGGAAUUACUGGGCGUAAAGCGCACGUAGGCGGAUUUGUAAGUCAGGGGUGAAAUCCCGGGGCUCAACCUCGGAACUGCCUUUGAUACUGCAAAUCUCGAGUCCGGAAGAGGUGAGUGGAAUUCCUAGUGUAGAGGUGAAAUUCGUAGAUAUUAGGAAGAACACCAGUGGCGAAGGCGGCUCACUGGUCCGGUACUGACGCUGAGGUGCGAAAGCGUGGGGAGCAAACAGG